CUAUCUCAUAUUUGUAUGGAAUAGGAUCGUUUGCGUACGUUUGCCGCUAGGGGCGCUGUUCCAACUGCAUACAAAAUUGGGUUA
rnacentral:pre_miRNA from 1 species